UACGUAGGGCGCAAGCGUUAUCCGGAAUUAUUGGGCGUAAAGAGCUCGUAGGCGGUUUGUCGCGUCUGCCGUGAAAGUCCGGGGCUCAACUCCGGAUCUGCGGUGGGUACGGGCAGACUAGAGUGAUGUAGGGGGAGACUGGAAUUCCUGGUGUAGCGGUGAAAUGCGCAGAUAUCAGGAGGAACACCGAUGGCGAAGGCAGGUCACUGGGCCGCAACUGACGCUGAGGAGCGAAAGCAUGGGGAGCGAACAGG
rnacentral:rRNA from 1 species